AACUGAAGUCUCUAUAAAGCAGG
rnacentral:piRNA from 1 species